AGGGGUAUAGCUCAGUUGGUAGAGCAUCGGUCUCCAAAACCGAGGGUCGGGGGUUCGAGUCCCUCUGCCCCUGCCA
rnacentral:tRNA from 32 species